UAAGAAAUAAAUCAUUAAGUGGUUGUCUGGAUUGUCUGGAUAUUUUCAAAUGUUUUGCUUUACUGCAUUGGUUGAAUAUGUUCAUAAUUUGCAAUAGAUGGCUCCAAUACUGUACUGAAAAAGGAAUGUUUUGUCUUUCAUAAUUCAGGAAGAACAGUCCACACACUGGUGUGUUUGGAUUACUGGUAAAUCAGAUUAGUCUCAAAUGUAUUGAUGAAGAAUGGAGCAGGACUGACUUUGAAGCCGAUACUGGACACAAAGGGACACAACCUGGACAAAACAGCAAAGAGGGACAUCAAAAAGAGACAGGCUUUGGCUAGUUGUCUGAAAGAACUCUUGGCUGAAGAGAUGCUGCAGUUUGCUGGGGUGACUGAGGACAUGAUGACUGAUACGGAGACUGAUCCCGGUGAAUUUUUGGUUUCCUCUCCGAGCUGGUGCUCUGCUGAGUUUGAGUACCUGAUCAAAUCAGCUGACGAAUGAAGGAGAGCCAACCGCUCUUAUGGCGAGAAGAGGCAUUGCCAAAACGAAAACCAUUCAACUCGUCCACAGCCACCACAGCCCUACCCUGGACACCUGAUUGCUCAGAACAUUUAAAUAGAAGAGAAGAUGUGGUU
ensembl:lncRNA